rnacentral:rRNA from 1 species
UCCGAAGGGUGCAAGCGUUACUCGGAAUUACUGGGCGUAAAGCGUGCGUAGGUGGUGAGUUAAGUCUGUCGUGAAAGCCCCGGGCUCAACCUGGGAAUGGCGAUGGAUACUGGCUCGCUAGAGUGCGGUAGAGGAGAGUGGAAUUCCCGGUGUAGCAGUGAAAUGCGUAGAGAUCGGGAGGAACAUCAGUUGCGAAGGCGGAUCUCUGGGCAGUUCCUGACACUGAGGCACGAAGGCCAGGGGAGCAAACGGG